CGAUUGCAACGUUAUUCUUUAGAUUAAUUGACGUUAUUUGAUUCCUCAGUGGUAGGUGGCUAGAGAAAAACAUGUGAUGUACUCUUAUGUACUCGUUUAAAAAUAGCACUCUUAUUUACGUUAUUGAUUUUCAGUGGGUAGCUAGAGAAAAGCAACAGCAGGCAGUCUGUAGUACUACCCACCUCUACCUAAAGAAACGGUUCUCCUUUUUCAAAUUACAAAGCUUGUUUCGUUUAGUUAGGACCUUUGACCAAUAAUUCAUCUACUAAAACAUAAUUUUGUGACACAAACUUGAUGUUAUUAUAGAUUCGUCGCUGACUAAUGGUAAUUAAUCACUAAUAAGAUAAGUGGAUCAAUAGUACUGAAAUUAAACCUAAAUCAUCCCACCUUUUUUUAUGAAAAAUAGUCUAAACUAACCGUCUAAUUUGUACCUAAAUUACCUACCUCCGUUGUUAUUAAAAAUAACAUUUUGUUACAUAUUGAUUAC
rnacentral:lncRNA from 1 species